GAGGCAAGCGUUAUCCGGAAUUAUUGGGCGUAAAGGGUACGUAGGCGGCUGGUCAAGUCUGGGGUCAAAGGCCACAGCUCAACUGUGGGAAGGCCCUGGAAACUGACCGGCUAGAGUGAGGUAGGGGUUGCGGGAAUUCCCGGUGUAGCGGUGAAAUGCGUAGAGAUCGGGAAGAACACCUGAGGCGGAAGCGCGCAACUGGGCCUUAACUGACGCUGAGGUACGAAAGCUAGGGGAGCGAAUGGGAUUAGAUACCCCAGUAGUCCUAGCCGUAAACGAUGGACACUAGACGUUGGCCGUAUCGACCCGGUCAGUGUCGGAGCUAACGCGUUAAGUGUCCCGCCUGGGGAGUACGCACGCAAGUGUGAAACUCAAAGGAAUUGACGGGG
rnacentral:rRNA from 1 species